UACGGGGGGGGCAAGCGUUGUUCGGAAUUACUGGGCGUAAAGGGCUCGUAGGCGGCCAACUAAGUCAGACGUGAAAUCCCUCGGCUCAACCGGGGAACUGCGUCCGAUACUGGCGGGCUUGAAUUCGGGAGAGGGAUGUGGAAUUCCAGGUGUAGCGGUGAAAUGCGUAGAUAUCAGGAGGAACACCAAUGGCGAAGGCAGCUCACUGGGACGGUACUGACGCUGAGGCGCGAAAGCGUGGGGAGCGAACAGG
rnacentral:rRNA from 1 species